rnacentral:rRNA from 1 species
GUUUGAUCCUGGCUCAGAUUGAACGCUGGCGGCAUGCUUUACACAUGCAAGUCGAACGGCAGCACGGGGGCAACCUUGGUGGCGAGUGGCGAACGGGUGAGUAAUAUAUCGGAACGUACCCGGAAAUGGGGGAUAACGUAGCGAAAGUUACGCUAAUACCGCAUAUGCCCUAAGGGGGAAAGCGGGGGAUUCGUAAGAACCUCGCGUUUUCGGAGCGGCCGAUAUCGGAUUAGCUAGUAGGUGAGGUAAAGGCUCACCUAGGCGACGAUCCGUAGCUGGUCUGAGAGGACGACCAGCCACACUGGAACUGAGACACGGUCCAGACUCCUACGGGAGGCAGCAGUGGGGAAUUUUGGACAAUGGGCGCAAGCCUGAUCCAGCCAUGCCGCGUGAGUGAAGAAGGCCUUCGGGUUGUAAAGCUCUUUCAGCCGGAAAGAAAACGCACGGGUUAAUACCCUGUGUGGAUGACGGUACCGGAAGAAGAAGCACCGGCUAACUACGUGCCAGCAGCCGCGGUAAUACGUAGGGUGCGAGCGUUAAUCGGAAUUACUGGGCGUAAAGCGUGCGCAGGCGGUUUUGUAAGACAGAUGUGAAAUCCCCGGGCUUAACCUGGGAACUGCAUUUGUGACUGCAAGGCUAGAGUACGGCAGAGGGGGGUAGAAUUCCACGUGUAGCAGUGAAAUGCGUAGAUAUGUGGAGGAAUACCGAUGGCGAAGGCAGCCCCCUGGGUCGAUACUGACGCUCAUGCACGAAAGCGUGGGGAGCAAACAGGAUUAGAUACCCUGGUAGUCCACGCCCUAAACGAUGUCAACUAGGUGUUGGGGGAGGAGA